rnacentral:rRNA from 1 species
UACGUAGGGUGCAAGCGUUAAUCGGAAUUACUGGGCGUAAAGCGUGCGCAGGCGGUUUUGUAAGUCUGACGUGAAAUCCCCGGGCUCAACCUGGGAAUUGCGUUGGAGACUGCAAGGCUGGAGUCUGGCAGAGGGGGGGUAGAAUUCCACGUGUAGCAGUGAAAUGCGUAGAGAUGUGGAGGAACACCGAUGGCGAAGGCAGCCCCCUGGGUCAAGACUGACGCUCAUGCACGAAAGCGUGGGGAGCAAACAGGAUUACGAAACCGGAG